CUCAUGAUUCCUGGCAUGAGACAAUACUCAUGAACUGGGUCGUGGGAUGUAGUGAAUAUUCGCACCAGGAAAAUGUCCAAUGAUCAAAUGCGUAACACAUGCGUAAUUGUUAUAGAAAAGUCCGUUAUAAGGAGUGGCAAGCAUCAGGCACUUCCGUUCGCUACAUCAGCAUGCAGUCAACUCUACCAAGCUAGUAAUGGUUAUUUUUCGCCUUCCUACUUGCAUUGGAUGGUAGUAAUUUGAAGCAAGAAUGGAUUCAGAGGACUAGAUCCAUCUUAAGUACUUGUGCCCACAUCUUUGAUGAAUCAUUCACCUACUUGUGUACUACCGCAGUCUAGAAGGCAGACAUAAACAAAUAAUAUAUAUCACAUAUAGUUUGAAACUUGAUUCAAGGAUGUUGAAUUACAAAGUAAUUAAUCAAACUGACCAAAUCUGCUGCACAUGAUUGUGUCAUUUUGAUUAACUUGAUAAUAUGUGUCAUAAUCAGAUUGACUUAGCUUGGUAAUUUUAUUUAUUUUUUGAAGUUGAAAGAUCUUGUAGCUUUGCUUAACUUGUAUGCCAGGCUACAUCAAUAUAUAA